rnacentral:rRNA from 1 species
UACGGAGGAUGCAAGCGUUAUCCGGAUUCAUUGGGUUUAAAGGUGCGCAGGCGGAGAUAUAAGUCAGUGGUGAAAACUAGCCGCUCAACGGUAGUCUUGCCAUUGAUACUGUUUCUUCUUGAGUAUGGAUGAGGUAGGCGGAAUGUGCAGUGUAGCGGUGAAAUGCAUAGAUAUUGCACGGAACACCAAUUGCGAAGGCAGCUUACUGGGCCAUUACUGACGCUCAGGCACGAAAGCGUGGGGAU